UACGGAGGAUGCGAGCGUUAUCCGGAUUUAUUGGGUUUAAAGGGUGCGUAGGCGGCUUUUUAAGUCAGCGGUGAAAUUUUGCAGCUUAACUGUAACAGUGCCGUUGAUACUGGGGAGCUAGGAUUUGGUUGCUGUGGGUGGAAUGUGUGGUGUAGCGGUGAAAUGCUUAGAGAUCACACAGAAUAUCGAUUGCGAAGGCAGCUCACUAAGUCAUUAUUGACGCUGAGGCACGAAAGUGUGGGGAUCAAACAGGAUUA
rnacentral:rRNA from 1 species